CCGUUUGCCGGUGCGCCGCACUCUCUGCCCCGCCCUUCUCCCCUCGAACUUCCGCCGCGCUCCAAGUUCGUUGCCGGUUAGCCAGCUGCGGUCUUGGCGGCCCCUCCGGCCGCAUCCGCCCAAGCUGGUGGGGCCACAGAUGAUGUGAAGGAAGAGGGUGACCGUUGAGGGCACGUGAAGUGUUGGCGCCUGGUAUUCCUCCAUCGCCAAUGUCGCCCACGACUGCGUCUCCGGGGAUGCGUUGGCCGGCUCUUCUCCCCUGGGACUUAAUGCCCUCCCGGACACGAAAAUGGCAUAGCCACUGCCCGCUUCGUCCCUGAUGAAUUUGGCGCUGGUCAGGAGUCUUCAGUCCAUUCUUUCCCCAGAGGAAGAAUAUGGUGUGGGACUAAGAAUCAGGUUUUGAAAGAAAACAUACUGUCUUCAAUGGCACUCCUGCCCAUGAGGACACACACUAAGCCAGACAGGAGCAAGCUGGGCCCGCAGGCUGUAGAGUGCCUUCACUCGAAGUUCUAUUAGGACCCGUCAGCACGGUGACUUCUGAUGACGCACCUUGGGCUCCAUCCCGGCUGUCACUGUGUGAGCAGAGCUCUUGCUGUGACUGUUGCGGUCUCGUGUGAUGAGAAGUUCCCCACCGUGAGAAACCUAAAUUGUUGUUCCUGGGGUGUAUUCUCUUGGUUUUCUGACUUCUGUUCUUUCAAAUAGGCUCUUUUUUACUGAACAUUUCCCUUUGUUUCCUCUCCACCUCAACUGAGUCCUAGGAAAUGUAGUAUCUUGUUUUGCUCUAAUAGUUAAUUUGUACUUUUGAUUUUUUCAUGGAGCUGGCUUUCAUAAAGAUCUUUCUCAAUACAGAAAA